UUCUUCAUCAGGGCAAGCGAAUGAUUCCUGCAUGACAAACACAGAAUUUCCCUGUACUCAUCGUUUCUCAGACGUUCUGACCUCUCAGUCGUCUGUGUUGACUCGUGUGGCACCGAAGCAGUAAAAAAAAAAAAAAAAAAAGCGGCAGGAAUGUCACCAUGUGCCGACUUCUUGGAUAUGUGCUGUUUUUAAAGAGUAACGACGCAGACACAGAGGUGAACAGGACAAAGCGUCCUGUUAACCUCUGUGUAUGCGCCUUCUUCGUCGUUAUUCUUUAAAAACAGCGCAUAUCCAAGAAGUCGUCAUCGCCUUACUCACCAUGUGCCGCAGAGUUCCGGUACGGCAAAAUAUAAGCUGCGCUAUUAUUGGAAUCUGACAAGCCAGACUGACACGUUAAAGGGAAUUUUUCCACGGGAAGGAAGGAGUCACUGACCUGGAGAGGCUGUCCCUGGAAAAUACGUUCCAGCUCAGCAAAAAUGGCCUCGCGGUCUUCUUCCUCAUCGAGGAGGAAGCAUCCACUGUCGACGCGCUCCCUUGGCUCCUCGCUUUUGCUCUCUUCUUGGCCUCCCAAGAUGUGCUCUCCUGCAAGCACGGGCCACACAGGAUUUUCCAUGACCAUUUCAAGCUAAUUCCAUGACCGGUACGUCUGCUUGGAAGAAACUGCGCACUGGAAACAAAUUCUUCAGUGGUAAAAUCAAAUUAUGAGGCACUCAUAUAAAAUGGAAACAAUGCUGCUUUAUUGCAGUCCCUUGGCUGAAAGCAUCCUUUACCAUGAAUAAAAUAUUAAAAGGCACAAUAAUUGUCCCUCAACAAACGGAAAAGCUUGUUUAUUUGCAUCGGCAAUGCCUUCACUGUUUCAAAGAUUCAAUCUCUUGCUGCAGCAUGGAGACCUGAAGCUGUGAGUCUUCCAUCAGUUUUUGCUUCUUUGAUUCAAGCUCUUUCACAAGAGCCGCAGUCCUCUUCUUUUUUCUUUCAGCAUCCAAUACGUCCAACCGUUCCUUCUUUUUCCUCGCCAAGUCUUCUUUCCAUCUGAUGUUGGCACUUUGAACCAUGUCUAUCAUCUUGUCUGUUACGUCAACUUCUGCAACACCACCUGCUGCAGACACCUCGUCGUACACUAACGUUUGUGCUACAAGUGACUCCUCCUCCAUAAUUUCUACAAGACAUUCCUUGUUCACCGAAAAUCCCCGCUCCACGGAAGAAUUUCCAUGUGAAAGGCACAGCACAUUCUUCACAAACAGCAGUAGCUCUUCAUGAGAACUCGCACAAAGUUCCAUCCACAGCUUCUCCAAGCGCUCUCUUGCGCGAUCAAAUUUUCGCAAACGCACUUGUGCAGUGUUGUUCGAGCACACUUGUACAUAUGAUCUACUUGCUCUCUCUCCUUGUAGGCCUGUAAGGCGCCCGUGCUCUAUAAGUACUUCAAGUGCAACAUUUAGCUGCUUCGGGCUAGCUUCCACAGAAGUGGUACAAAUUGCUGGGUUUAAGCAACUGGCCCCCCUUGUCAGCUUGUAUUUCAGAGGUGAUCCUUUGGUUAUCUUUGCAGAACAGGCCUUAAUAAAGAAGAUGCAUUCUUUUUUGACACUUGCCACCGCAGUGUGAGAUGGUUUAGU